rnacentral:rRNA from 1 species
CAGUCGCCGCGGUAAUACGUAGGUGGCAAGCGUUGUCCGGAGUUAUUGGGCGUAAAGCGCGCGCAGGUGGUUUAAUAAGUCUGAUGUGAAAGCCCACGGCUCAACCGUGGAGGGUCAUUGGAAACUGUUAAACUUGAGUGCAGGAGAGAAAAGUGGAAUUCCUAGUGUAGCGGUGAAAUGCGUAGAGAUGUGGAGGAACACCAGUGGCGAAGGCGACUCUCUGGUCUGUAACUGACGCUGAGGAGCGAAAGCGUGGGGGGCGAACAGGAUUAGAUACCCCCGUAGUCCCUGUCUCUUAUAC